rnacentral:rRNA from 1 species
AGUGAACGCUGGCCGUAGGCCUAACACAUGCAAGUCGAACGGCAGCACAGUAAGAGCUUGCUCUUACGGGUGGCGAGUGGCGGACGGGUGAGGAAUACAUCGGAAUCUACUUUUUCGUGGGGGAUAACGUAGGGAAACUUACGCUAAUACCGCAUACGACCUACGGGUGAAAGCAGGGGAUCUUCGGACCUUGCGCGAUUGAAUGAGCCGAUGUCGGAUUAGCUAGUUGGCGGGGUAAAGGCCCACCAAGGCGACGAUCCGUAGCUGGUCUGAGAGGAUGAUCAGCCACACUGGAACUGAGACACGGCCCAGACUCCUACGGGAGGCAGCAGUGGGGAAUAUUGGACAAUGGGCGCAAGCCUGAUCCAGCCAUACCGCGUGGGUGAAGAAGGCCUUCGGGUUGUAAAGCCCUUUUGUUGGGAAAGAAAAGCAGCAGGUUAAUACCCCGCUGUUCUGACGGUACCCAAAGAAUAAGCACCGGCUAACUUCGUG